rnacentral:lncRNA from 1 species
UGGAGUCUGCUGGAGAUUCUUUCUGCCCCUGCCCCCAUUCGCAUGCGUUCUCUCUCUCUCUCAAAUAAAUAAAUCUUAAAAAAAAAGAAAGAAAGAAAACUGGGACUUAUCUGAGAUUACCAAAUAUACGGUAAGAGCUGUUGAUAAAUAUUUAUCUAAUAAAUGUUUGUAUGUGAAACAGAAUUUGGUCUAAGACUUGGUUUCAUUAUAGUUGGUAGUAAGACAAUAUACAAGGGUCAAUUUACUACAGGUGUUUACAGGUGCUGAGAAUCCCUUACAAGGACAAAUAUUUAUAUUAGUGACCAAAUGGGGAAAUGCGCUCCAUAUCAGGUAUAAGGUCUUAGUUUCCUGGGAUCUGAGUGGUGGGCUUCUCUUCAUCUGCUUAUUUUAUUUUAUUAUUUUAUUUUUAAAGAUUGUAUUUAUUUAUGUGACAGAGAGACAGCCAGCGAGAGAGGGAACACAGCAAGGGAGUGGGAGAGGAAGAAGCAGGCUCCCAGCAGAGGAGCCUGAUGUGGGGCUCGAUCCCAGAACGCCGGGAUCACGCCCUGAGCCGAAGGCAGACGCUUAAGGACUGCGCCACCCAGGCGCCCCGCAUCUGCUCAUUUUAAAUGAGGCUCUUGGUUCACUGACAUGUUUUGGGGAUUCAGAAGAGAAUUUCUGUGUGAUUUCAUGCCUUAGGCAUGCCAACCACAUGGGCGUGAUGGAGGCCAUGGAAAUGGAAGAUUCUGUUCGGCUUGGGAUGAGGAAGCCAAAGAAACCCGACGUCUUCAAGAGCGAAGUGGUUGACGGAGAAAAACCAACCAAAGCAAAGCAAAGGAAGAGAGUGAAGGAAAGCAGACUAAAACCACGCAUCUCCGAGACACUUAGCCACUGUGGAAUGGAGUUCCAGACAGCCGAAAGGACUUCUGUGGCUUUUGAGCCUUUGGAAACAUUCCUUCCAAAUCCUGCUGGAGGAGCAGGGGUUGCUAAAACCACAGAUGGAAACUCGACACAGGGAGAGGCCGGGACUCCAGAAAAACUACUUUGGCCUCCGGUGAUGUGUUACCAUCAUGUGGCCCCACCACUCGACUUUACUGGUGCCAAAGUAAGAAGUCCGGUGAGUGGUCCAGGGUCACGGAGGGAGGUGGAGGCAGAUCUGCCUUCCCCGUCGGGGCUCCUUCCUUGACAAGAAACGAGUUGAGGUGCUGGGCUUGUUGAUUGAAAGCUCAGUGGCCUCUCAAUUUAGUGAUCUUUUUCCUGUACCAAAGCUAGUCUUUUUUCCUGAUACAUGAAAACCUCAAGGCUCCUUCUCUCCUUUCCGCCUCUUUCAGAGUCCCCCCCCCCCAUAGAUUCCAUCCUCCUAAAUUCUUUGGGUCAUAUACUAUGCUGUCCUGUGACCAUGCCUCCUGCUAGUGUGUCCCAGCUUCUAGCAUUGGCAAAGAUUUUCUAGAAAGAUUGUGAAGAUGCAGAUCCCCUGGUCUGAGCAUCAGCCUUCAGACGUUCUGGAUCAGGAAUCUGAAGUUUUAAUAGGAGUCCUCUGUGAUUCUGAUGCAGGGGAGCCAGAAAUCUCACCUUAACAAUCUCUCCCUUACAAUCACCCACCUCCACUGGGGGGCAGUUUUCUGCUUGUGUAAUCGAGGUCUUUGGAAUUCCCACCCCAUCAAAUACUAGCUCACCUGAGCUUGGUCACUGAGCAUUUGUUAAAGCUGAUUUCACACCUGUCAAAUCUGAAUACCAGUUCCUAUAUUCUAAGGGGGUCAUGGAAGAUUAAAAACACAAUGUUCAGGGGCGCCUGGGUGGCACAGCGGUUAAGCGUCUGCCUUCUGCUUAGGGCGUGAUCCCGGCGUUAUGGGAUCGAGCCCCACAUCGGGCUCUUCCGCUGUGAGCCUGCUUCUUCCUCUCCCACUCCCCCUGCUUGUGUUCCCUCUCUCGCUGGCUGUCUCUAUCUCUGUCGAAUAAAUAAAUAAAAUCUUUAAAAAAAAAAAACAAUGUUCAGAGUAGUGAAGAGUAGUUCUGACCAUUGGUAGUUACAGAGAAUAGGGCAUAAAAUUUCCUUCUUUGGCGUAGGCAUGGUCUUAAAAAGUGGUCUGGGGAAGACCACAAAUCUCUCGAGGUUUAAAGAAAUUAAUGGCAAGAUAUUAAGCAAGAGGCUACGUAGAGAAAAGGGUAGGAUUUUGACUGAGAGGUUUGCACAGCCCCGUAGAUCCAGGGGGGUGAGCCACAAGUCUGACCCUAGCUAGGUGACCUUGGGCAAGUCACAUGGUCUGUCCGAAGCUCCACUACCCACCUGUAGGAUAGGGGAUGAUAACGGCCGUCCUCACCUGUCCUGCCAGACUGUGGUGCGGAUCAGAUGGAAUAUAUCUAAGCAUUUUGUGGAUUAUCAGCUUCUUCGGAAAUACACGUAAGCUGUUUCCACACCAAAAAUGCAGGUGCCUAAUCCACUGGAUAGUUCUCUCAGGAUAGAAUAAAGAGACCAAUUAAAAAGCAGAUUUUCAGGAAAAACACUGACCAAAAAUAGAGCCGGAGUUGGAUCGGUGCCUCAUGUGGUCAAGAAAAGUAUUCGAUUACUGUCCCUUUAUUUGCCCAUUUCUGGGAGUUGGGGUGUUGCUGUAUCAUGUGAGUAAGGCUUUGAAAUUCCUGUUCUAAUCUUUAGUAGCAACGACACAACCUAUAAUCUCUUCUGUUUUUCCUUU